rnacentral:rRNA from 1 species
GAAGAAGGCCUUAUGGUUGUAAAGCACUUUAAGCGAGGAGGAGGCUACUUUAGUUAAUACCUAGAGAUAGUGGACGUUACUCGCAGAAUAAGCACCGGCUAACUCUGUGCCAGCAGCCGCGGUAAUACAGAGGGUGCAAGCGUUAAUCGGAUUUACUGGGCGUAAAGCGCGCGUAGGCGGCUAAUUAAGUCAAAUGUGAAAUCCCCGAGCUUAACUUGGGAAUUGCAUUCGAUACUGGUUAGCUAGAGUGUGGGAGAGGAUGGUAGAAUUCCAGGUGUAGCGGUGAAAUGCGUAGAGAUCUGGAGGAAUACCGAUGGCGAAGGCAGCCAUCUGGCCUAACACUGACGCUGAGGUGCGAAAGCAUGGGGAGCAAACAGGAUUAGAUACCCUGGUAGUCCAUGCCGUAAACGAUGUCUACUAGCCGUUGGGGCCUUUGAGGCUUUAGUGGCGCAGCUAACGCGAUAAGUAGACCGCCUGGGGAGUACGGUCGCAAGACUAAAACUCAAAUGAAUUGACGGGGGCCCGCACAAGCGGUGGAGCAUGUGGUUUAAUUCGAUGCAACGCGAAGAACCUUACCUGGCCUUGACAUAGUAAGAACUUUCCAGAGAUGGAUUGGUGCCUUCGGGAACUUACAUACAGGUGCUGCAUGCUCUCUGGUUC